GCAGUGGUGGUUCAGUGGUAGAACUCUCACCUUUCAGGUGGGAGACCUGGGUUCAGUUCCUGGCCAGUGUA
rnacentral:tRNA from 1 species